UCCAGUCCCUCGCUCCUUCCUUAGAAAGUCUGAAACACACACACAGCUGGGGAAUUCUUUCCUUGCACACGACAAAAAUGCUCUCCUGGUAUACUUUCAUCAUCCUUCUUGCAUCCUUCAAGGGGGCCCAGUUUCAAGCCGUUGUGACCCAGUCAGAUCCUGUGGUGAAGCGACCAGGAGAAUCAACCCAACUGACCUGCACCAUGGACAAGGCGGACCAGUGGUGGAUGUCGUGGCUUCGACAAGAACCUGGGAAAUCUCCUGAGUGGCUGAUCAGCUACUGGAAACCGUCAGUCACAAACUACUACUCUCCCACCAUUCGGGACCGGUUCACGGCCUCAAAGGAUGGCUCAAAGUUCUACCUGCAGAUGACAGCCCUUCAGCCCCAAGACACUGCUGUGUAUUACUGCACGAGGAGAGAGGCACAGUGA